UAUUUAUUUUUUUUUGUAGUUCGAUCAUUACUUUCUCUGAGAUUUUUAACAUAUAUUCUUCUAUCAUUUAUUUUAAUUUUCUAAGUUAACUACUCAUUUCAUCCUUGUUAGUUUGAAAAUGUUGUUUUGGUGUGUUUCGAGCUUUUUAGUAUUUGUCUACACCAUAAUUAAGAAUUAUUUGUAGAGAUUAUUUAUAAAAAUAUCCAUAUGUUUUUUAUCAAUGGAAUGAUUAUCUUAUUUUAACUAUAAUGUUUCUAUUACCUCAACAAUAGAUAAUCAGAUUAUUGGUGUGCGUUGGCAUAGAAAAGUCAUGACAAAUCUUUCUCUUAAAUCGCGUGUUAAAGUUUUCUAAAAAGCCAGACACUAAUCUAACUAUACCAAGUAUAAGAAUUUUCUGCCUUACUCUCGCUUCCGUGCAUCGUGGUGGUUGGUCUCCCUCUUCUCCGCUUGGAUUCUGCCUUCACAUAAUGAGGACAAAAUCAAUCCGUUGAAUUAGCGACCCAACGGUUAUAUGACUGCUGUUGAAGACCUUCAUAAUACAAAUACUUGACCACUCUUUGAUCGCCGGGUUGAGGUUACGUUAAUUUCCGAAAAAACAGGUUGAAAGCAAUCUUUUCUGAUUAGGAUUGUCCAUGAUUCCUUAAAGCCUGUAACCGAAAACAACGCCAAUCUGAAGACAUGCUUCUUUUAUGUUCUCUUCCAGGUUUGUUUUAUUUGGUUAUGAUCUCUUUGCAUAUCUUCCUAUGAGCCAUAUUUAUUUAUUAAAGGUGUAUGCAUAUCUUAAGUUGUGGAGGUCUUUCUUAAAAGGUUGGAGUAAAACAGCAUCACACUUAAUAUCUUGCAAGUUGGUGAGAUAUUUAGAUAGCAACCUUAAGUAGAAUCUAAGCCAAAUUAUCCUGGAAAAAAGAUAAAUUAAUUUUACUAAAUAAAAUAGCAAUAAUAAUACAAGUACAAUAGCAACCUUUUAAUAUUAAUAAGACAUCUAAGGGAUGGAGGAGAACGCAAUGACGAAACAAUAUGGAGGAGAACGCAAUGACGAAACAAUAGAUUAUGAAACCUUUUCAGAAAAUCUGGACCAAAGAUUUUCAAUUCUUUGAAUAGCUGAUGUUGUUUAAAAAUAUAAAAUAAUUGAUCUUAGAUGAAUUUCAAAAAAUAAAUCAAAAUCUAAUAAAAGAAAGACUCAUUAAUUACACUUACUUUAUUACCAUUUCUUUCAAAUUGUAAAAACUUGGAACAUAGAGAAUUUUUAUACUUGCAUAUAGUUCGAUUUAGAAAAUUAAAUCACUUGAUACCAAGAAUCUCGUUAUUAAUUAUUGGCCAAGUAGAAGCUUCUACUUGAAGAACUUUAAGAUAAGAUAACAUUUACAUGUGAUAUGAAACAUAUGGAUGAUUCCAUAAAUAAACCCUACAAAAAAUUUAAAAUAAAAAGAUCUA